rnacentral:ncRNA from 1 species
UACCUGGUUGAUCCUACCAGUAGUCAUUUGCUUGUCUCAAAGAUUAAGCCAUGCAUGUGUAAGUAUGAGCAAAUUCAGACUGUGAAACUGCGAAUGGCUCAUUAAAUCAGUUAUAGUUUGUUUGAUUGUAUUUUCUACUUGGAUAACCGUAGUAAUUCUAGAGCUAAUACGUGUAACAAACCCCGACUUCUGGAAGGGAUGCAUCUAUUAGAUAAAAGGUCGAUGUGGGCUUUGCCUGUUGCUUUGAUGAUUCAUGAUAACUCGAUGGAUUGCACGGCCUUUAUGUCGGCGAUGCAUCAUUCAAAUUUCUGCCUUAUCAACUUUCGAUGGUAGGAUAGUGGCCUACUAUGGUGGUGACGGGUGACGGAGAAUUAGGGUUC